UGAGGAAUAUUGGUCAAUGGGCGGGAGCCUGAACCAGCCAAGUCGCGUGAGGGAAGACGGUCCUAUGGAUUGUAAACCUCUUUUGUCGGGGAGCAAGAAAGGGUAUGCAUACCCUACUGAGAGUACCCGAGAAAAGCAUCGGCUAACUCCGUGCC
rnacentral:rRNA from 1 species